rnacentral:rRNA from 1 species
AACGGGUGAGUAACACGUGGGCAAUCUGCCCUUCACUCUGGGACAAGCCCUGGAAACGGGGUCUAAUACCGGAUAACACUCCUGCCUGCAUGGGCGGGGGUUAAAAGCUCCGGCGGUGAAGGAUGAGCCCGCGGCCUAUCAGCUUGUUGGUGGGGUAAUGGCCUACCAAGGCGACGACGGGUAGCCGGCCUGAGAGGGCGACCGGCCACACUGGGACUGAGACACGGCCCAGACUCCUACGGGAGGCAGCAGUGGGGAAUAUUGCACAAUGGGCGAAAGCCUGAUGCAGCGACGCCGCGUGAGGGAUGACGGCCUUCGGGUUGUAAACCUCUUUCAGCAGGGAAGAAGCGAGAGUGACGGUACCUGCAGAAGAAGCGCCGG